rnacentral:pre_miRNA from 1 species
UUAACUCAAAUUUGUAUGGAGUUGGACGUUGCCUACGUUUGCCGCUAGGGGCGCUGUUCUAACUGCAUACAAACUUGAGUUA